UACCUACUCAUUAUCCGUGAUUGU
rnacentral:siRNA from 1 species